GGGGAAGGGGUGCUGCGCGUGCCGCUGAUGCAGGGGUCGAAGGCCGGCCGUGCUGGCCACCGUGGUAACCACGUGGCCACCACGUCGUAUGGCGCCCUUUAGGCGGUCGUUGAGAAAGUGACACGUCUGCUUGCGGCUCUGGUGCAGAGAUCCCUCCCGGCUUUGUUCCCGAAGGCGGUCUGGGCGGGCAGGCGUGCCCACGUGAGGUGACGCGGCAGCAGCCCGGAGGGGAAGCCCUUGGAGGGGCUGCUCGUUGCGUUUCGCUGCCCGUAAAUGCGGGUAAACAGCGCCGUCCAUUUUGGGCCGUCAGAAGACGAGAGGGAUGCUGACGGGUUGAUUCACCAGAAUUACUGUUUGUGCGGUAAAAUCUAGCAGUGCCAGCACGCCCAUCUCAUGUAUCUUACUGAUGCAACACGGUGAAAGACGAAAAGCUUUAUUAUUUUCAAGAAGCGACUCAGUCAUCUCUAUAGGAGUACCCUUACCCCGUAGCACACGUAAGGACUUUGGCAGGGUUUAGCCCUUUCUCGUCUUGAGAAUGCAUUCCCAGGCAAAGCAGCGUCACGUUGAUGAAGAGCUGCUACAGGUGCUCAGAGUAUGGAAGAACCAUUUUGGAGACUGAACAAGGCAACUGCUACACACGGCAAACAAAUGCAUUUCCAUUGUAAUGACAUCACUGUUGAGCUGCAAGAGAUGAACAUCAAAUUCUGAGACUUACUGCAGGUGCUACAGAAACGACGAAUAAGAAACUUUAUGUCAAGACCAUGGAUGUUCAAAAUCACGUAUACCGAUGUUAUGAAAGAGGCAUUCAUGCUGUGUGGAGAUCAUGUUUGUCCUUACUUGAAGAACCAUUAUACUACAGUAGGGUCACUUCACCCGAAUAUUUGGUUGGGAGAUUUCAAAC
ensembl:lncRNA